rnacentral:rRNA from 1 species
GGGCCCGCACAAGCAGCGGAGCAUGUGGUUUAAUUCGAAGCAACGCGAAGAACCUUACCUGGACUUGACAUACCCUGAAUAUCUUAGAGAUAAGAGAAGCCCUUCGGGGCAGGGAUACAGGUGGUGCAUGGUUGUCGUCAGCUCGUGUCGUGAGAUGUUAGGUUAAGUCCUGCAACGAGCGCAACCCCUGUUGUUAGUUGCUAACAUUUAGUUGAGCACUCUAGCAAGACUGCCGCGGUUAACGCGGAGGAAGGUGGGGAUGACGUCAAAUCAUCAUGCCCCUUAUGUCCAGGGCAACACACGUGCUACAAUGGGCAGUACAGAGAGAAGCAAGACCGCAAGGUGGAGCAAACCUCAAAAACUGCCCCCAGUUCGGAUUGCAGGCUGAAACUCGCCUACAUGAAGUUGGAGUUGCUAGUAAUCGCGAAUCAGAAUGUCGCGGUGAAUACGUUCCCGGGCCUUGUACACACCGCCCGUCACACCAUGAGAGCUGGCAACACCCGAAGUCCGUAGUCUAACUUAGGAGGACGCGGCCGAAGGUGGGGUUAGUAAUUGGGGUGAAGUCGUAACAAGGUAGCCGUAGGAGAACCUGCGGCU